CAAGAACUCCCUCCGUCCGAAAAUACUUGUCAUCAAAAUGGAUAAAGAAGGUGUAUCUAGAACUAAUAUACAUCUAGAUACAUCCCAUUUUAUUCAUUUUGAUGACAAGUAUUUCCGGACGGAGGGAGUAAUAC
rfam:Triticum aestivum genome assembly, contig: Triticum_aestivum_CS42_TGACv1_scaffold_342380_4DL